CCGUCUUUUCCUCUAUUGUUGCCUGCAGCAGGAGGAUAGUCAUGGAAGAGUACCUGUAGAGGGCAGGGCAGAGAGACAGCGUAUGGGGUGCUGCUGGUGUCACUGCUGGUGUCACUGCUUAGAGGACUCUUAUCUAGUCAAGUGCCACGACGCUUCCUUCAAAAAUGUUCCUUUUUCGAAAGCAAUUGGCUGCAUAUUGUUUUUCAUCAUGUUCAAGUAAAGGCCUGGAUAUCACCAGUUACUUUAGCCACUUGGUCACACACUGAGUAAGAAGGAAGGAGGCUGACAGAUGGCUUGCUUCCUGUCUGGAUUUUCUGUCAAGUGAGACAUGGUGGAACCCAGAGAAGCUGGACACCAACACGUGCUGCUACUGCCGACUGCUGUGUCGUGUGUUUGAUGUCAUCGUCGCUGGGGCACGCCAGGGGCCCAUUGCAGCCAGCUUCAGGGCCCUGAUGACGCUACUUUUCUAGGUACUGAAACUUGAUAUGUUACACAAUGCAUUUCAGUGCACAGACGGAUGCUUCACUCAACUCAUUGGCGCAUAGCAUCACUCGAAGGAUAGUUCAUUGUUCCUCUAGGUAUGCUACAAUAUAACGAUGAUGAUAAUCAAUGUAAGGUAAAGUGUGUUUGGAAGUAGGCGAAACAAAGCAAUCUCCCGUUUUUUUUACGAUCAACUGUCUCACUUUGUCCACAUUAUUCCAUUCCUCAACCCCCUCCAUUAGUCCCAGGUCCACCUGAGUGAUCCCCUUGAGCUCUUCAAGUUCCUGUGCCUGGUGUGAGGCUACGGCAGUAACCUAGGAGACCAGCUGGACUGUAAGAUCAAUGCCAUCCUGCAGACCCAAGCCCUCUGUGGGCAGCGCCCUCCUCAGCACCCAGCCAGAGAAGACCCUCACACUGCUGGCAUCGGGCUCAUCACCAGUGGUGCUCUCCCUGCUGGCCUGUCUGAGCUCCUCUGUCUGUGAGGUGAGGAGGGCAGCCACAGCCACCCUACAGACCCUGGCCCAGGUGGACAGCUCUCCCUUUCACCCCACCAUCGACAGGCGGGUGAGGGUGAGACACACACACGUGAAUACUUCAUUUGUAUUCUCAAUUAAGCAUUG
rnacentral:lncRNA from 1 species